rnacentral:rRNA from 1 species
CCCUUAGAUGUUCUGGGCCGCACGCGCGCUACACUGACAGAGCCAACGAGUUCUUUGCCUUGGCCGGAAGGUCUGGGUAAUCUUGUUAAACUCUGUCGUGCUGGGGAUAGAGCAUUGCAAUUAUUGCUCUUCAACGAGGAAUGCCUAGUAAGCGCGUGUCAUCAGCAUGCGUUGAUUACGUCCCUGCCCUUUGUACACACCGCCCGUCGCUACUACCGAUUGAAUGGUCCGGUGAAGCCUCCGGAUUGGCGCGCACCUCGGUGCCGCCGAGAAGUUGGCUAAACCUUACCAUUUAGAGGAAGGUGAAGUCGUAACA